CCUCCCCCCGCUCCGCCCGCUCAGAGCAUAAUGGCAGCGUCUGAGGUUGCUGGUGUUGUGGCCAAUGCCCCCAGUCCUCCGGAAUCUUCUAGUUUAUGUGCUUCCAAAUCAGACGAAGGUCUCCCAGAUGGUCUAAGCACCAAAGACUCUGCACAGAAGCAGAAGAACUCGCCUCUGUCGAGUGUAAGUAGCCAAACAAUAACCAAGGAGAAUAACAGAAAUGUCCAUUUGGAGCACUCAGAGCAGAAUCCUGGUUCAUCAGCAGGUGACACCUCAGCAGCGCACCAGGUGGUUUUAGGAGAAAACUUGAUAGCCACAGCCCUUUGUCUUUCUGGCAGUGGGUCUCAGUCUGAUUUGAAGGAUGUGGCCAGCACAGCAGGAGAGGAGGGGGACACAAGCCUUCGGGAGAGCCUCCAUCCAGUCACUCGGUCUCUUAAGGCAGGGUGCCAUACUAAGCAGCUUGCCUCCGGGAAUUGCUCUGAAGAGAAAUCCCCACAAGCCUCCAUCCUAAAGGAAGGUAACAGGGACACAAGCUUGGAUUUCCGACCUGUAGUGUCUCCAGCAAAUGGGGUUGAAGGAGUCCGAGUGGAUCAGGAUGAUGAUCAAGAUAGCUCUUCCCUGAAGCUUUCUCAGAACAUUGCUGUACAGGUCAAGUGUCAAGUUUCUACUACUAAAAUGUAAUUGGGGGGUGGUGGGGUUCAGGGUGGGAGAUAUUUCUUCAUAUUUGGUGGAGAACUUGCUGGCUUGUUUUGUUUUUUGUUUUUUUUGCUAGCAACCAUCAUACUACUCUCAUACAGUGCCAUACAAUGACUUCAUUUUGAUGUUCAGUAAAUAAGAAAGCCAGUAGCCAUUGUCUAAUCUUAUGGCAAGUAGGAACUUUAUGACCUACGUGUAGUCUCUUUCACUGAGUAACUGAUGAGUGCAGGACAUUAGCAUUCAUAUUUAUCAUCUUUGACCUUGCAGGAAGAAUCCUUGUUAAUUCUCUGAGUCACAUCUUAAGAAGUACAGUGUAUCCUGCCUUCUAGUGACGGGUGUGCUUUGUUGUAGGAGAAAGUAUGGGCACAACAGACUGUAGAGGGCAGACGUCUCAUCUCAGACUUGAGGCUUUCUCUCAGUCAGUCACUGGGUCUUGUUUGGGUUAUUUUGUGGGACCGAUGAUUAAUGCAGCGUGGAUGUUGGUGUCCAUUUGCCAGAACUACAUUGCUUAGCUUGCUUGGAAGCUGGUAAGGGGAAAGAGCAAAAAGUUAGUUACCUGUGGCGGAAUUCUAGGUGUUAGUGAUUCUGCCUCUUUUAAAGUGUCUCUGAACGAUUCUAAAUACAACUUUUUUCCUUUAUAGACUGACUUUAAGACAGCUGAUUCAGAGGUAAACACAGAUCAAGAUAUUGAAAAGAAUUUGGAUAAAAUGAUGACAGAGAGAACCCUGUUGAAAGAGCGUUACCAGGAGGUCCUGGACAAACAGAGGCAAGUGGAGAAUCAGCUCCAAGUGCAAUUAAAGCAGCUUCAGCAAAGGAGAGAAGAGGAAAUGAAGAAUCACCAGGAGAUAUUAAAGGCUAUUCAGGAUGUGACAAU
rnacentral:sRNA from 1 species